rnacentral:lncRNA from 1 species
AAACGUAACCAACACAAAAUCGCGAAACACAAAAGAGCACGGAAGUUCACUCGUUGGCACUGUAAUACAAGUCAGUGUCAGUGUCGUAAGCGGCGACAUCUUGUUGUCCGUUGUUGGCGCUUGCAAAUGUCUUCCAGUGGGUGUAAAGUUCAGUUUCAGAGUCGGAGCCUUCGCACUGCUGCACUGGAUCACUGGUCUCUGUCUCGCGCACACCACGACGCAAACCAAGUUCUUGGUGCACUCGCGAACCGCACUCGCGCACAUCACCACUUGGGCCGCAU